rnacentral:rRNA from 1 species
AUUGAACGCUGGCGGAAGGCUUUACACAUGCAAGUCGAACGGUAGAGGGGGCAACCCCUCGAGAGUGGCGAACGGGUGAGUAAUAUAUCGGAACGUGCCCAGUCGUGGGGGAUAACGUAGCGAAAGUUACGCUAAUACCGCAUACGAUCUAAGGAUGAAAGCGGGGGAUCGCAAGAACUCGCGCGAUUGGAGCGGCCGAUAUCAGAUUAGGUAGUUGGUUGGGUAAAGGCUCACCAAGCCAACGAUCUGUAGCUGGUCUGAGAGGACGGUCAGCCACACUGGAACUGAGACACGGUCCAGACUCCUACGGGAGGCAGCAGUGGGGAAUUUUGGACAAUGGACGCAAGUCUGAUCCAGCCAUUCCGCGUGCAGGAUGAAGGCCCUCGGGUUGUAAACUGCUUUUGUACGGGACGAAAAGGUCUCUCUUAAUACGGGGGGCUCAUGACGGUACCGUAAGAAUAAGCACCGGCUAACUACGUGCCAGCAGCCGCCGUAA